CUGCGAAUGGCUCAUUAAAUCAGUUAUCGUUUAUUUGAUAGUACCUUACUACUUGGAUAACCGUGGUAAUUCUAGAGCUAAUACAUGCUAAAAAUCCCGACUUCGGAAGGGAUGUAUUUAUUAGAUUAAAAACCAAUGCCCUCUGGGCUCACUGGUGAUUCAUAAUAACUUCUCGAAUCGCAUGGCCUUGUGCCGGCGAUGGUUCAUUCAAAUUUCUGCCCUAUCAACUUUCGACGGCUGGGUCUUGGCCAGCCAUGGUGACAACGGGUAACGGAGGGUUAGGGCUCGACCCCGGAGAAGGAGCCUGAGAAACGGCUACUACAUCCAAGGAAGGCAGCAGGCGCGCAAAUUACCCAAUCCCGACACGGGGAGGUAGUGACAAUAAAUACUGAUACAGGGCUCUUUUGGGUCUUGUAAUUGGAAUGAGUACAAUUUAAAUCCCUUAACGAGGAACAAUUGGAGGGCAAGUCUGGUGCCAGCAGCCGCGGUAAUUCCAGCUCCAAUAGCGUAUAUUAAAGUUGUUGCGGUUAAAAAGCUCGUAGUUGAACCUUGGGCCUGGCUGGCCGGUCCGCCUCACCGCGAGUACUGGUCCGGCCGGGCCUUUCCCUCUGGGGAACCGCAUGCCCUUCACUGGGUGUGUCGGGGAACCAGGACUUUUACUUUGAAAAAAUUAGAGUGUUCAAAGCAGGCCUAUGCUCGAAUACAUUAGCAUGGAAUAAUAGAAUAGGACGUGCGGUUCUAUUUUGUUGGUUUCUAGGACCGCCGUAAUGAUUAAUAGGGACAGUCGGGGGCAUCAGUAUUCAAUUGUCAGAGGUGAAAUUCUUGGAUUUAUUGAAGACUAACUACUGCGAAAGCAUUUGCCAAGGAUGUUUUCAUUAAUCAGGAACGAAAGUUAGGGGAUCGAAGACGAUUAGAUACCGUCGUAGUCUUAACCAUAAACUAUGCGAACUAGGGAUCGGACGAUGUUAUUUUUUGACUCGUUCGGCACCUUACACGAAAGUACAA
rnacentral:rRNA from 1 species